CUGUACUGGCCUGCUGAAGGUGCUCAAUAUAUAUUUGAGGAUUGACUAAAUGAAUAUUCUGAACACCCCAUGAGGUCAUUUAUUGUCUCCACAUACCAAAGAGAAAACCAAGACUGAAAAUGGGGAAGUUACUGACCAAUGCCAUCAGGACUUGCCCUCUAGGAGGUGGCCCAGCCAGAAUUAGAACUCAUCUGCAAUUCUAAGAGUUUAUCUACUUCCUAUGGGGCCUUCUAAAGAGAAGUUAUAGGUAGAUUUGUGCUUUGGAUCCAAGAGGCUAAGAAGUGUACCUCUAACUCCAUCUAAACUGGACAUUCUCCCAAACAUGUCCUGAACUUUCCACCCCGCCCCUUUGUUCCUUCUUUUUGUUCCACUUGGAAAGCUUUCUCUGUCUUUGUAUACCUAUCCAAGUCUUACUCACUGUUCAGAGGUCACCUCAAAUUUAUCUUUUAAACUCUGUAUGUUUGUUAUGAUGCCACCAUCUAUCUUGUGUUAGAGUGAUUUAUGUAUAUCUCUUCCUCCAGUCCAUUAAUUCCAUCCUUGAAAGAUGGGAUCAUAUCUUAAUUGCGUUUGUAAACACUAAGCUCUUAGCACAAUGCCUUGUUUAUAGUUGGUGCUCUUUAUUUUUAUUUUCAGACAUGGGAAUUCUUACUAUGUUGCUUAGGCUGGUCUUGAACUCCUGGCCUUGAGCAAUCCUCCUGCCUCAGCUUCCCAAGUAGCUGGGAUUACACCUCUAUAACCAUGGACCCUGACUAUUGGUGCUCAUUAAAAUUGUAAAUUUCGAUUCUGAAGUCUUACAUUGUACUAUCUUCCACAAGUGUGUUUCUCACGCAAUAUUCAGUAUGUUUGACAGUGCCUCUUUUACUCACUGAUGAAUGUGGACCAGAAAAAAUCCUCUUGGUUUCCAGGCUUGUCUCUGCUGCUGACCAGAGAACUCUAAUACAGCUGGUUAUAGUUGGAGAUACAGAUUUGGGAGUUACCAGCUUAAAAGUGGUAAUGCAAGAGUAUGAGAAGUUUAAGGAGAGAGAAGAGCAGUGGGCCAAAGAAAAACCCUCAGCUUUUUUGGUGAAGUGGGGUGAAGGAACAGCAAACACUGUCCUUCACACAGAUCCCUCCACUGUCUCCGGGGUCAAACUCCAGUGAAGUUCAGCUUGUACACAAGAUCAAAGGUGAAGGAAAUUUUUUAUUCAGGUUAAUAACGUACUUCUAAAAGCUACUGUUUAUUUUCUUGUAGUCAACUGUACAAGAGUAUAGUCCCAAGAUGGGUGGGAGACCUUUACUCUCCUUUUUAUGAGAGGAUUAUGUUAGACUGAAUAUUUCCCUGUUUAGUUACUUACAUAUCCCUCAUUAAGGCAGGAAGAGUAACUAACCCAGUUGUGCAGUUUUGGGGUAUUCCUUGGAGACCAUUUUUACUGGGGCAUAAAGGAAGGGUACUGAAAAACAUUAUAUGAGUUCAUCUCUCAAUCCUCCUUUUCCCUUAUUUGGAUAUCAACUAAGUUUGUGCAGGUGAAUGUGGAGGUAGACUGAGUUUUAUUUGCAGCCAAGUUCUCUCCAGAGGUGUCUUUCAGCUACAGCUUCAGAAAUUUAGAAAAUAGAAUAAUUAGUUCUCAUAUUCAUGCUGCAUUUUCCAGGCCAGGCCAAUCCUAUCCUAUGAGGUUCUCAAGCACUUACCUGGCCAAUUAAUGCUGUCAGUGCUCUGAAUUGCAUUUAACUGCCAGAUUUUGUGUGUGCUCUCUAAUGUUCGGAACCCUGGUGAGAACAAAGGGCAACAGGAGAUCUCUAAUUUUCCUAGUAACAUCCCUAACCCUUGCUUAUUUUAGAAAUGCAUAACUCACGAACACCAUAUGCUAUUUACUAUGAGCUUUGAAGGAGUUUUGGUUGUUAUCUCUUCUCAAUGUAGCUGCUAUUUCAGGUGUAGAAUGACCAGCUAUAUUCAGAACAGUUAGUCGGAAACUCUAAAUGGGUGAUUUAUCUGGUGACCAAAAGCUAAAGGGGGAAAUUAAUAUGGAUUUUACAAAAAAAAAAAAAAAAAAAGAAAGAAAAUUAACAUUAGGUUAAGAUGGAACAUAACUGGUAACCAUUAAAUUGUUUUUGGGCAAUACUUGGAACAUAAGCAUUCUUAUGCAGUUUGGUAUGAGAACUAUUAUCCGUUCUUUGAGUCAGAAGAGGUUAGAGAUAAAGCGCUUGCCAGUGAGAUGCCUGGCCUUAUCUUAGCAUGUAAAAGAUCUUGAUUUUCCUUUAGGUAGCUGGUCAAGAGCCUUUCAUGAUCAACCAAGCAUGAUGUUAAGAGCAUUUGUGAGUUAGCUCUUGGCACUGAAAUGUUGGUAUUAAUGAUUGGAUAAUAAAGACACAAUUAUACAAUCUAAGAAUUUGAUA
ensembl:lncRNA